GACAGCUUGCAAGAGGUCUGUCCCCUGCCUCGCCCCAAGGAGCAAGCAUCUCCUCCAGGAAGACCCCCUAGCCUCUGCCUCCGCAUCACCUCCUCCAGGAAGCCACCAUGGCCUCUCCAACCGCAUUGCAUGCCUUUACUAAAUGCUCUUAGUGCUCCGGACUGCCAUACUCUAUAUCCCUCACCUCACAGCGUGACUCUGUGUAAUAUCUUCCUAGGUCUGGAUCUCGAUUUGGGACCUGCCCACAUUUUAGCUACUUGUCUCUGAGCCUCAAUUUUCUCAUCAAUAAAAUGGGGAAGUAACAGUGCCUACCUCAUAUUUCUGUUAUGACGAUCCAAUCAGAGAGCUCAUGAAUAGCAGAGUGCUGGGCAGCAAAUAAGCCGUCAGGAAAUGUUAAUAGUUUCUUAAGAGUCAAAUUGUGUCCCCCAAAAAGAUAUGCUGGUGUCCUAACUUCCCAGGACCUGAGAAUGUGACCUUACUUAGAAACAGGGUCUUUGGGCCAGGAUCGGUGGCUCACGCCUGUAAUUCCAGCACUUUGGGAGGCCGAGACGGGUGGAUCACUUAAGAUCAGGGUUCAAUACCAGCCUGGCCAACAUGGUGAAACCCUGUCUCUACUAAAAUUACAAAAAUUAGCCAGGUGUGGUGGUGCAUGUCUGUAAUCCCAGCUACUACUUAGGAGGCUGAGGCAGGAGAAUCACUUGAACCUGGGAGGCAGAGAUCGCAGUGAGCCGAGAUCGCGCCACUGCACUCCAGUCUCCAUUGGAUGAAUCCAAUGACUGUUGUCUUCAUAAGAGAGAAAUCUGGACACAGACGUAGACAGACGGAGAACAGCACAUGAUGAUGUGACAGAGCUUGGGGCGACGCAUCUACAAGCCGGGGACCCCACGAUUGCCACCACCAGAAGCUGGAGACACUCCUGGAACGGAAUUUCCCUCAGGGCCUCCAGAAGGAGGCAACCCUGUCCAUACCUUGACUUUGGACUUGUAGCUUACAGAACAGUAAUAGAAUAAAUUUCUGUUGUCUACUGUUUGUGUUAACUUGUUCCAGCAGCCCUAAGAAACGAAUACACUGUUAUUUCAACGCAGCAAAGCGAGCGCGGUUCUGGG
rnacentral:lncRNA from 1 species